rnacentral:lncRNA from 1 species
UAAUAUCCACCAACUUAUUAAACCAUGUGAGGCAACCACAUCCUCCUGUGGAAAGCUCCAUCAUUCCAUAGGCCAAGCAAGAGCAAUUACUCAAGCACGCCGCUUUGCAGUCAUGAAUGCUCAUAUUAACAUUCACCAAAUCCCCUGAAGAAUCUGGCAAUUUUACAUUGCUGAUUCUUUUAAACCCCUCUCCAUUUUUGCAGGUUUGAUUGUCCCUUAUAACGCAGCCUCCUAUCCAGCGACGCUUAUUCCAAUCGUCUGGCGAUUUUGGUUGAUACCCAUGAAUGCAAUCGCAGCGCGGUAUGGUAGAAAAUGUACAAACACCAAAAUUUCCGCAGAGUCCGUAGUAAUCGCAGGCAUCUCCCGGUAAUUCAUACAGAAGGUACCAAUCAUUUACAUCAUCCAUCCAAUAAAAUUGUUCGAAUUUCCCUUCUGCGCUCAGUGCAUAUCUUACAGUAAGAUCUUUUGCAGACUCGUAUGAAUAGAAUGCUCCUUCCGCACUAUAAUUGAACCGUGGAGAAUGAAUAGCUGUAUCUCUAAAAGGGGUAGUGCCACUAAACCUCCUACCGAACCAUGGGCCACCCCUGUAUGUUGUUACAUUUCCUCUGCGAGUUUCAAGCUGGGGAAGCCCAGCAGGGUCCAUACCAUAAGUGAAAUCCCCUGAAGACGGAUCAUUCGAGCUUUUCCAUGACGUUAACUUCCAGUUCAUCCUGGUUUUCAAGUCCCAACCCACUUUCAUGCCAGGUAACAGAUUAUCAGAAGGGUAAUCAAAACUCUGCCACACAUAAUGUUCAGACCCAGAUUCUCUUAUAACCAAAUUACCAUUAUCAAGUAGUUGAGCUAUUGGAUCUUUCAGGAAUUUUGAAGAAGUGGGAGACCAUAGAAUUCCAUCGCUUUCAUUCUCAAGAACCAGGCUUUGUCCUUUGAGUGUUAAUCUGGCAGAGGAAUCUACAAGUGGGCUGUCUCUGUUUGCUACCCACACAACUGUUUGUGGGAUGUUCUUGU